AGAGCCAGUCUCCAUGCCUGAGGACAAGCAAGGGCCCACACAUUCUCCUCGAAAUUCUUGAGGAGCAACAAUGGGAGAUCUUCUUUUUUUCCUGCCCUACUGAGUUCAGACCUGGAGUUUUAGACCCAUUGACUAUGCUAAUGUGAUUUCAGAAUUUGGAGAAGGGUCCAAUGUUGAACCAAUGAGAUUUCAGAUUUUGUCUAGAAUUUUUAUUUUUUUAUUUUUAAGUGAGAGAAAGUAGGAUUAUAAAUUUAUAAGCAGCUAAUUGUAGUUUACAUAUGACAUAUAUGUAUAUUGGAAAUCUGUUCUAAAAAUCUGUUACCCAUAAACAUUGCUCAAUGAACACUGUACAUCCAUUUAUAAAAUAUGUCCUAUGUGCUGAAUGGCAAUAACUCAUACAAUAUACCAAAGAGGUUUUGCGCUUAGGUCCUAAUAAUAACUAGAUCUUAUUUUUUACAAUCCAAUUAUCUAGUAUCCUGUUGGUGUAGCUUCUCUUGCUUUCUCUCUCUUUGUCCCCAGUUACCAGAGAAGCUUCAGUUGCUUUGAAACAACAGGGCAUCAGAGAGAUCCAACUUAUGGUAGUACUCAUCAAAGGGGACCUGCAGCAAAUCAUUUUGCCUGUCUGUGAUUCAUUUACUAAAUGAAAUCAGGGAAAUUCUGGCUUCCUAUCUACUUCCCAGGGGUGUUUUGAAAAUGAAUAUGUGAACAUUAAAAUGUACUUUGGAAAGUGUUGAGAAAUCCUCAUAAGAGAGGCAAUGGAUGUCGUGGGUCAGAAACAAUGAAUGAAUAAUUGACGGAUUUGGUGACCAUUUGGAGAUUGGUGGAGAAGGAAGACAUGACAGGAAGAACAGAAGGGUGGCAAAAGCAAUGAUAAUGGAACCAAAGGACCUGGGGUGAAAUGUCAUCUCCAUUGCUUGUUACCUUUGUGACCUGGGAGCAACAGUGUACAAUGAUGAAGUGUGAAACUCUUGGCUUCUCCCAGCGACACAAUGAUCCAGGACAAAUCUGAAGGACUCUGGGCAUAGGAUGCUAUCCACCUCCAAGGGAAAGAACUGAUGGAGUCAGAAUGCAGAAGAAAACAUACGAUUUUUCACUCUAAUUUGCUUGUGUUUUCAUUUGGGGAUUUAGUUUUAUAAGAGUAUUCUCUUACA
rnacentral:lncRNA from 1 species